GGCGAGAUGGCCGAGUGGUCUAAGGCGCCGUGUUCAGGCUCUCAACGUGCUUCGCGGUCCUCCGGGGCGUGGGUUCGAAUCCCACUCUCGUCA